GAUGAACGCUGGCGGCGCGCCUAACACAUGCAAGUCGAACGAUUAAAGCACCUUCGGGUGUGUAUAAAGUGGCGAACGGCUGAGUAACACGUGGGCAACCUGCCCUCCUCUUGGGGAUAGCCUCGGGAAACCGAGGAUAAUACCCGAUACUUCAAUGUGGCCGCAUGACGACAUUGAGAAAGCUUUUGCGGAGAAGGAUGGGCCCGCGGCCUGUUAGCUUGUUGGUGGGGUAGAGGCCUACCAAGGCAAUGAUGGGUAGCUGGGUUGAGAGACCGACCAGCCAGAUUGGGACUGAGACACGGCCCAGACUCCUACGGGAGGCAGCAGUGGGGAAUCUUGCACAAUGGGCGAAAGCCUGAUGCAGCGACGCCGCGUGCGGGAAGAAGGCCUUCGGGUUGUAAACCGCUUUCAGCAGGGACGAGGCGAUAAGUGACGGUACCUGCAGAAGAAGCCCCGGCUAACUACGUGCCAGCAGCCGCGGUAAUACGUAGGGGGCAAGCGUUAUCCGGAUUCAUUGGGCGUAAAGCGCUCGUAGGCGGUCUGUUAGGUCGGGAGUUAAAUCCGGAGGCUCAACCUCCGCCCGCUCCCGAUACCGGCAGACUUGAGUUUGGUAGGGGAAGGUGGAAUUCCUAGUGUAGCGGUGGAAUGCGCAGAUAUUAGGAAGAACACCAGUGGCGAAGGCGGCCUUCUGGGCCAUAACUGACGCUGAGGAGCGAAAGCUAGGGGAGCAAACAGG
rnacentral:rRNA from 1 species